GAGGUUAUAGCUCAGUGGUAGAGCACAUGGUCAGCAUGCAUGAGAUUCUGGGUUCAAUUCCCAGUAUCUCCA
rnacentral:tRNA from 1 species